GACGAACCGUGCGAACGUUGUUCGGAAUCACUGGGCUUAAAGGGCGCGUAGGCGGGCGAUCAAGUCAGGGGUGAAAUCCUCCGGCUCAACCGGAGAACUGCCUUUGAUACUGGUCAUCUCGAGUGAGGUAGGGGCAUGCGGAACUGAUGGUGGAGCGGUGAAAUGUGUUGAUAUCAUCAGGAACGCCGGUGGCGAAAGCGGCGUGCUGGACCCUUACUGACGCUGAUGCGCGAAAGCCAGGGGAGCGAACGGG
rnacentral:rRNA from 1 species